rnacentral:rRNA from 1 species
UACAGAGACCUCAAGCGUUAUCCGGAAUUAUUGGGCGUAAAGAGCUCGUAGGCGGUGUGUCGCGUCGGCCGUGAAAACCUGCAGCUUAACUGUGGGCUUGCGGUCGAUACGGGCAUCACUGGAGUUCGGCAGGGGAGACUGGAAUUCCUGGUGUAGCAGUGAAAUGCGUAGAUAUCAGGAGGAACACCGAUGGCGAAGGCAGGUCUCUGGGCUGACACUGACGCUCAUGCACGAAAGCGUGGGGAGCAAACAGG